UUUUCCGAAACCAAACUCUGUUAUUCUCUUUGUAAAUCCAAUAUCAAUCAGAGCAAACCUUAAUCUUUCUCACUAGAAACCCUUAGACACCUCUACGAAAACCAGAAAUAGAAGAAGUUUCUAUGGUGAAUCUACUAUAAAUAAAACCCUAAGUAAAAAUUGUUUGAAGAGGAGUCCCUGAUUCCGUUAUAGAGCAGAAAUAAUUUAUCAAUCAGCAAGAGAACUUAGUUCAACUUGGUGAAUAUCGACUUAAGGAAAAUGAAAACUUGCUGUUUCGGACUUGCUUAAGGAUUCUGUGAAGAAAUCAUCGUUUUGUACUGUCUGUUCCUUCUCUUCAUUUUUUUUUUUAAAUCUAGGGUUUGUACCCAUUUUUUCAUUCUCAUUUUCAAAUUGGGAUGAUGGAGACAGGGCCGGCGUUGAGAUUUUACUUCCCCGAAGUAAAGGUAAAAUUGUUGCCCCCUCAUGGUCGGCUCUGCUUGCGCAUCAAAUGAGUUUUCACCAAGUUGGCAACUAGAGCUUGUUAUGGAUUCUUCUUACCUCUUUCCCAUUAGUAGAAAAAGUUUAGAGAAUAAGUUCUGAGAAGCGAACCAAGAGUAGAUAGCUUAAAAACGAAACAUGCAAACUGGUGGAACAAACAUAACUUGAUACUUGUAUGCGGAAAGGGUACAAAGAUUCUUUCGGUAAAUUUGGCUGUCAAAAGAGAGAAAUUAUUGGGGUAAGAGACAAAGGGAAGAGACUGUUAUGUGAAGUAGAUCCAUGUGUUCAUCUCCGCAGUUUACCUUUAUCGGCAUCAGUUACCUCACCUUGCACAAAGAGGAAAUAUUCAAAAUAGUUCUUUACAUCAGUACCUCAAAGAGAACUCUAGGAUGAUAUCUGUUGCUAGAUAGGCCUGAGAUGAAUGUAUACGGUGAUGUUUAUCCCACUAAGAAUGCUAGUGUGGAUGACGGGAAUAAAAAUUAUGAGGUGAAUGUUUCUCCAUUCUCCAUCAGUAUUCAUAUCACAGACUUUCUAUACUUGUGACUUGUCACCAGGAUGACAGGAAUAAAAAUUAUGAGGGACACUCUUGCAGCUGAAGCUACUUGUGCCUAGAUCUGGGUGUAAAGGUUGAAUGACACUGUUAGAGAGGAAAGUGAGAAAAUGAUGCAAUGGAGGUAGCUUUUGAACUGGUUCAUAACGUCUUGCACAGAUAAGACAAACUUGUGUGGUUGAAAUGGGGUAUUCGAGUAAGCACUGGGAGGUCAAUUUAGCUGCUGAAAACCCCUGUAGCUUUGAGAACCUGUAUGAGGCACUAACUUUGCAAAUAAUGCUAUGCGAGGCCCGAGGGGUUAGAUUUUAGUGUGGGUCUGCACCCAAUGAUGCAAGCCUGCUUGCUCUUGGCAUGUAUUGGGAGUCUGCUGGAAUAUCUAAGAAGAAUCAUGACGAGAAGAAUGAAGUCUCAAGAGAGCUUGUAAUCUUGUUGAGCCUGUGUCAAGGGGUUUGUUUAAGGGGCUGCAAUUGAGGAGCUGUGUAUUUUUCCUCUUCAACUUUCAACAUUUCCGUCCUUAACAUGUUCAAUUUUUAUUGUUGGUCUGGUCACGCGUAUUUUGAUGCCAAAGACGGAAUUACUUGGAAUGAUAACUUUGUUUAAACUCGAAAUAUGGUAUGAUUACAAAUCAUUCUGAUUCAUUUGUGUAUUUUUCUUCUCUUGCAACUUCUUGUAUCAUUGUGGUCCACAGUUGUCUGUUGAGAAGUAUUAAACUGUGAAUUACAUUUUCUUGGAACUGUCAGGGGAUUGGUUCUGAACCUCACCUGAACAAGUUGUACAUAGCACACAUAAUUUCUUCAUUUCUGAAUCUAGAGCCUAGAAAGCUAAGCAAGAGUUUACCUUCUCUGCUUGUGGCUUUUUUGCUAAUUCCUGUGUAGUACCACCUGUAAAUAUUAUUACGUGCAAGUUUCUGA